GACGAACGCUGGCGGCGUGCUUAACACAUGCAAGUCGAACGCUGAAGCUUGGUGCUUGCACUGGGUGGAUGAGUGGCGAACGGGUGAGUAAUACGUGAGUAACCUGCCCUUGACUCUGGGAUAAGCCUGGGAAACUGGGUCUAAUACUGGAUACGACAUGCCACUGCAUGGUGGUGUGUGGAAAGGGUUUUACUGGUUUUGGAUGGGCUCACGGCCUAUCAGCUUGUUGGUGGGGUAAUGGCCUACCAAGGCGACGGCGGGUAGCCGGCCUGAGAGGGUGACCGGCCACACUGGGACUGAGACACGGCCCAGACUCCUACGGGAGGCAGCAGUGGGGAAUAUUGCACAAUGGGCGGAAGCCUGAUGCAGCGACGCCGCGUGAGGGAUGACGGCCUUCGGGUUGUAAACCUCUUUCAGCACGGAAGAAGCGAGAGUGACGGUACGUGCAGAAGAAGCGCCGGCUAACUACGUG
rnacentral:rRNA from 1 species